AACAAAACCAGUUAAUGUUUCCCGAGGUCUGGCGAACACCAGGCUUCAGAAAAGCUCUCUGAACCCACAAUCUCAUUUUGUGCUCACAAAACCCCAGGGGAGGGCUGUGAGUGGGCCCCCGUUGGAGCUUAGGGAACCAGGGCUUGAAGAAGUUCUGUGAUUUAUUUGCUCAAGGUCUAGUGGCUUGUGGCAGUGGAGGGAGGAGAUGGACACUUUGGUCUGGUUCCAGGUACAAUGCUCUUCAUAAACAAGUGGUUCUGAGUACCUUCUCCUUCUGAUGUCAUCAGCCGGGCUGUCUUCAGAAUGCUGAACAGGAGAAUGCAGAGAAGAGUGGUUCAAGGGGAAGACAGUCUGCAGAAGAGUUCUCAAGUUUAUUAUGGAAACACUGCGGCGAUGUGUGCAGUAACAUCAUCUUACAGGAGGGAACCAGUUCUGUUCAAAACAACUCACCAGGUUUUCUGAUAGUAACGAAGAACAAUGCGGGGCUGAGAUUUGAGAAGGCGAGAACCUGAAUGCAGACAAACCAUACAAUUAAAUUAAUGGUAUCCCUGAGAGAAACACAACAAGAGGGGAGGCCUUGGUACUUAUUUAAAAAUGUUCAUUAAGCUCCAAUGAUUGUUUGCUAUUCUCAUCUACAGUCAUGCUGAGUAAGCUACAGCUAAGUGCUUGUGGGCCAUAGAGAAAUCAAGGCGGAAAUGAGCUGGAAGCUUUCUUCUGGAUAGUUCUGAUAGUACCUGUAUUUUACAGCCUCUGGGGAAAAGAAGCCAUCAAUAGUCUUACUUAGUUGUGAAUCCCAUGAGAUGUGAAUAUGACCUGCCAACUAAGAUGUGCUUCCUGGUUCCAUGGUGACACGGCUACUAUUGGAGUGACCAACCACUUUUUCAUUGGAUUUUAGAGCUGCUUCAUUGGUGGGAAACCCCACUGGGUACUGUAAAUCUGGUCAGGUUGUUUUGCUAAAUGGUCAUGUUGUCAAACUACCUUCUAAAUACUCAUGUUUAUACCCAUGCAGCAUGAUGGAACGUUAGGGGGUCUAAUCUCCUGUAGGUCUAUUACGUGGUAUCAUAGUGCCUGAAAGUUCAAGAGGGCAGCAGUCAUGUCAUUCCUGGAGGAUUGUGUUCCACAACAGGGUCUCUCAUGUGGUUGUAGUCAGAUGGUGGCUGGGGCUUUUGUCAUUUGACUACACUUCUGAAUUGGAUAUUUGUGCUGGCUCCCUUAAAGAGCUGGUGACUCUUGGUUGUUGGUUGGGAAUUCAGCUGGGUCUGUGGUCAGUUGGAGCAUCUAGAUGUAGCUUGAGAUUCUUGUAGUGUGUGUUUGUGUGUGUGUGAGAGAGAGGGGGGGGGGAGAGAGAGAGAGGGAAAGAGAGAGUAUAAAUGAGUAUGAAUGAAUGAAAAUUCAUGAAUUAGUAUUUUAAGAGACUAAAGAGAGGGGCUGCAAGGUCUCUUAUCACCCAGCCCCAGAAGGCACAGUGACUCCUCUCACUGCUACACUGUUAGGCAGAUCUGGUCGGGAUCUGCUGCUAGGGCAGAAUGCUCAAUGGUGCUAAUAUUGGGAAGUGUGGUUCCCUAGCGCUAGAUGUCAAUUUCACUUCCAUGGAAAAGGCUGCUUCAUAAAAGGAAAAAGCUAGCUUGUUUCCUUGCUUUCCCUUGCUUUCCUAGAAUGAAACUCUUCGCAUGUGCAUUUAGGCUUUGUGAGGUCAAAGUGACUCAGCCUGUGUCUAGGACGUUCUGGAAAGAUACCUUACAAAUAACUUGUGUCUGUCCGUGGUAAGCAUGACACUACCUUAGCUAGAAGUGGGUGCAGUGAUAAUCUCAGCCCUUCCCUGGAGGCAUCUGUGGGAUGCUUGACUUCCGGCUCACUGUUGGAGAAACAUCUUUUGAGCAUAGUCUGGGGUCACUGAGUAGAGAGAGAUUCUUAGAAGAGAGUGCACAUGUUCUGAGGAACCACAGGCUGCAGUCGGGAACAUAACUGGGUGUGGGGUGUGUGGGAGUGACCUUACUCUUUUUCCUAAGUCUUAAUCCAAUGAUCCCCACAGAGAGAGCAGCUCUGGUUCUCAUAUUAUGACAUCUCCCCUUACUUCUGUAGCUAUUCCUGGCGCCUAUUUCAGUGUCUGUAUAUAUUGUGGUAUAACUGCGAGCUUCCCCCCCCCCCACACCCCAAUUCCUGAAUAGUGACUCGGAGGCUUAUUAUUUAUGAAUAAAUGCCUAGACCGUACACUAGGCUUGCUCCCCAACUAGCUCAUAACUUACAUUAACCCUUUUAUACUAUUCUAUGUCUACCACAGGACUACUUACUUCUCAGUUUCAUAUGUCCAACUUCCUCUGAGUCCGGGCAGGGAAUCUUCCCACCCUCUCCCCCCAUGCCCUUCACUAUUUCCCAGCACUCCUUGCUCUCUACCAGAUGUCCCACCUUUUACUCUACUCUUUCCUAUAGAUGAUAGGCUUUUUAUUGACAGGCCAUGCUUUCGCAUAGUACACUAUAGAGUAUCCCUACAGUGAGGCUCUUGAAAAAAAAAUAUAUUAUGCCAGUUUGACUGGGAAACCCAGAGACUGUGGAUUAAGAGUACAUGUGGGUUAUAAGAAACAAGAGGGCUGUUUGCUAAGGCAUGGGAGGAUUUGAGUCUGUAUUUCUUUAGGUUUACUCACUCAGAAAAUACGAGGUUCCUUCUAAGUGCCUGGCAUUGGUUCAGUCUCUAGAAAUAGACUGGUGAGCAAACACCUAAAGUUGCUGCCCCAGAGUGAGAGCCCCUUGAAGUCACCACUGUACAUCACCAGCAGGGGCUAGUGUAAACGGUGUCUAUGCAGAAUGAAGAUGACUGACAAAUAUGACUGCCCUUCUCCGCACAGAUGGGUUAGUAUAGUGCUUGCCCUUUAACUAAGUGUAUGGGCUAGAGACAUACCUUGGUGGGAAGAAUACUUCCUGUUCUCACAGAGGGUUGUGUUCCCAUGGCAGUCUAUAGUUGUCUUUUAAGUCUAUUUUCUAAAAACCUGGCACCCUUUUCUGGCCUCCACAUGCAAUGGGCCAGUGAGCAACAUGCUACAUUCAGCCAGGUAGUGGUGGCGAAUGCCUUUAAUCUCAUUGGGAGACAGAGGCAGGCUGAUUUUUGAGUUCUAGGCCAGCUGGUCUUCAGAAGGAGUUCCAGAAUAGCCAGGGUUACACAGAGAAACCCUGCCUCAAAACAAACAAAAACAAAUAAACAAAAAACUGGAAAACAGAAAACAAAACAAAAUAACCAACCAACCAACCAACCAACCAACCAACCAAAAAAAAAAAAAAACCCCAAAACAAAUCCCCAUUUAUCUCAUAUAAUUCUUCCAAAAGGAAGACUAAUAGGAUGACUAUGAGAUGUAUCUAAAACAUAGAAUUUCAAAUUAGAGAAUUAGGCCUCACCACCUACCCUGAAGGAGAUUAGUUACUGAGCUAAUUUUAAUUUUCCAAAAAAUUAUUCCUUAAACAAUAGCUCCUUGGCAUUGAACUGGAGUCUUUGAAAGUUCUGCCUCUCCUUAGAGCUCGGCUAUGACCUCAUAUUAUUGCAUUGUUAAAUAAUCUCAACAUUUUUGGGUGUAACCGAUUUAGCAAGUUAACGCUUGAUGCCAUUUAUAUAACGUGUUUCUUAGAGGAGCAAGACUGAACAGGGCCGGGAGGUGACAGCAUAGCCAUGGGAUUUAGAUGGCCUGCGUUUAGUCACCCCAACAUUCUCAUGCUCCAGUUAGGCUGUAAUACCUACAAUUUCCUAAACAAGGGGCUUUUUUUUUUUAAUCAAAGAAGGUACCUGCUGUAGAGCCAAACUGUUGAGUGUGAAUAAUUCAAUUAAACUCCAUUUUUCCAAUCGUCAUUCAAUCUACAUCAUUAAGGACCUGUUGUGUGCCAGGCAACACAAAUAACACAGAGUGAACUCACUACCUGGAAGGGAUGGCUUCCACCGGGACAAGGAGAGGUGGGGAUCCAACCAGGGUGACGGAGGUGACUUUAAGUUGCAUGGUUGCUCCAUUGCAGAAGGACUGUUACGCUGUAUUUAUUGAAAGUGGAUUGCACUGGGGCGAAGUUCAGAGCAGCCUGGAGGAGAAAGCUAUGUAGGACAACUGGGCAGAAGGUCACAGGUCCUGAUCUCACCAACUAGUUUAGCCAUGUGUAAUCUUGUAUGUAUGAUCUUGGCCUUUCGGGGCCUUCAUUUCCUUACUAAUGCUAAUAGAGAUGGACUUGGUGGGAAACUCUCCAAAUGUCUUUAAAUUCUAAGUUAGUCAUGUGAUUUGUGCUUUAGGCUUUAAGAACACCCACACUUAUUGAGGUGAAAAAGCUGAGGAAUACCCAGGUUUAUUGAGGCAAAAAGCUGAAAUCACUAGCAAUGUUUUUCUCACUAACACUUACCGUUGGGUUGCUUUCUGACUCUAAAGCUCUUUUCCAUGUAUGUUUCUUUUGAUCCUCAAAGAACAAAACCAAACCUGCAGAGGUGGAAAAAUACCCUGGGCUUUAAAGCAGGUAGUACUAUACUCAGUUUCACAGGGACAGAAAGGCCUAGGGUUUGUUUGGCAGAGCCCUAGGGUGUGACAGUCGCUUAUAAUUGGAUUAAAACAGUUCUCUUUGAGGAUAUUGAGAAAGUGACCUCCAAUUUCCCUUUAGAUGCCAGGUUGCGGGUUGUGAAGUUUUCAGGUCAGGGGAGCAAAGAGAGCACAAAGCAUUCAAGGUCAGACAGGUUCUUCCUUCAGAAUGUGACAUCACUGAAUUUGGGCAUUGCAGCAAAUUUAACACAGCAGGACUCCAGCUCUAUGGGAGCUGAAGUGUCUGUGAACUCUUGAAGCAGUAUACGGGAGCUUGCUCUUUUGUUGUGCACAUCGUUGAAUCACAUCCCAACCUGAAAGACGAAGGUCUGGAAACCAUGGAACUUUACCAGAUGCUGAGUGAGGCCCAGCUUGAGACAAGAGUUUCAUCUUAUUCAAGGUCUACACAUCAUCUCCUUCCUUCCCUACACCUCCUUCCUUCCCUACACCUCCUUCCUUCCCUACACCUCCUUCCUUCCCUACACC